ensembl:lncRNA
UGCACGAGGGGGUCCUUCGGGGGUACGCCGGGCAGGGCAACAUUCAGUUGGUGGUACAGUAACCGCAAAAGGUUGGGAACCACUGCAGUAAUACAUGAAGGUGUGGUUGACUGUGAGGGACUGUGAUGUCAGAUGUAUCCUAUUUCCUGUCUUUCUAAGUAGAUGUCAGACAGAGACAGACAGCAGUAUACAGGCAGCUGUGGUGAUGGUGAUGUCACUGCUGAAGUGUUUGCUGCUGUUCUUCUUCUCAUUCAAUGAAUUGACCACAGCAGCAGAAGCCAUUCUCUGGGUGAAGACAGGGGAGAAGUUUACCAUGAAGUGCUCCACCACUCUAAAAGACCAGGAUGGAAUGUACCUGUAUGUUGGGCUGGACAGGGAGGUGUUGUAUUACCACCAGCGUGACUCCAAGCUGUCCCCCAGGAAAGGCUACUGGGACAGAGUGACGACUGAGGGACCUGUGGACCAACUGACCAUCACCGUCAGUAACCUGACCAUAGAGGACACAGGAGUCUACUGGUGUGUUUACACAACAUUCAAUGAUGCCACGUUUGAAAAUGAUAUCAACCAAGGAAAUGGCUCCACUCUGGUCGUGGUGAAUGACGAUGUCCUACAGCUGCCAUGUCCUACAGCUACUGCAGUAACGCCCUUUCACCCAGCCAAUGAGAAGCAGUGCCCAUCUGGCGUGGUAAACAUCAUCAUCAUCAUCAUCAUCAUCAUCACCAGCCUCUUGACCAUCCUGAUGUGUGCUGUCAUCUUCCUCAUCUGGCUCCCUCCACAGGUGAAGAGGUGCUGUAAACAGGGAGGAUCCACACCCCAGGUCAUUCCUGAGAGUGUCUAUGAAGACAUGGCCAGGAAUCACACUUCUCCACCUGACACACAGUGUUUUUAGGUCACUGGACCACUCUGGAAGCUGUUCCAGUGCAUGGGGUCUGCCACACAGUCAGAAGAGCUUCAACGUUAAAAUGAGAACAGUUUGUUAAGACUUGUAUUAUAUUUCAUCACAGGUAGAAAUAUUUUAGCUGCCUAAACUUCAUCAGGUACAUCAGGAUAUUACAUUCCAUUUGAUUAUUCUAUGAUUUUAGUUGAGAUAGCUAGAAGGUUAAAACCAUAAUGGUCUGAGUACAUUGUUGAUGCUGUUACGGAGUAAUGAGUGUGUCUUGUGGUUGAAAAUAGAAUCAUUAAUUUUUACCAAGUGACGUAGUAAUUGUCUCACACUAUGAGUCAGUUUUUUACUUAUGUUUCAACUUCAUAACAGCUAUUUUCACUUUAAAAUAGAUGUAAAUGGGUAUUGUAUCUUUUUAAAGGUAGAAAAUAUUCUCACCAUUUGCCUUUUAAUCAAAGUACUGAUAUAUUCAUGUGUAAUUUAACUUGUGUAUUCAUGUUUAUGUUGUAUUUGUGUAUGUGGUACGCAUUGGUGAUGUUCAGCUAUAUUUCUUACAUUAUAUUGUAUGUUUUGGAAAGCUUUCUAUCUAAACCAAGUGAAGACAAGUUCAGACAGGAAACCAGAGUAUUUGCAUCAGCUGAUAUUGCACCAAUUAGAUUCACUCUACUGCUUUCCGACCACCCACCCCAGAUUCCACCUGCCUUGUUCACUGUUUAUUAUUAUUAUGUUAUCAUUAUGCAUGCUCUGGCAGUGAGCUACCCCAAAGGAGCAGAGCCUAACGCCAAGAGUAAUGUAUUGAAUGCAUUUGAAUACUUUCUAAUAAAUGUCCAAUUUAUAUGUCAAUAUACAUGAGCAGCAUCAUUAAGUUGUUUUUUCAACAUACUGUAUUCUACAAUCAUAUCCAAAAUCAUAACCAUAAGUCAAGUACUCCAUUAAUGUCACACUGACACAUAUCUUGUAAGCCAGACCUCCGUGUGCUGCUGGUGACAGGUGGUUUCUGAUGUGGUGGCAGCAGACAGAUGAGAAACUAUACCCAACACCUCAGGGGAACAUGGAUGCUUCUCUGUUACACGUCACUCAUUUUCAGAAACCCACCACAGUGAGUGAAUAACUCAACACCAACCACACAGAGCAAACCCUGCAUGGCAUACGGAUACGGAGCGCAGGCUGUAUCCCCACUCUCACAAACUCUACUAGUUAUUUAUUUCAGAGAGACACAUUGAGAGAGAAGUGUGUCUUAAAAGUCAAUCUUUUUCUGAACGUAUAAAUGUUAUUCUUAAUCAGAAGACUUAAGGUCGAGGUGGUUUUGUGUCUUCUACUAUGGGUUGGUCAAAACAAGCAUUGUUAAUCCAAGAUGGCGUAGCAGUGCGAACGUGUUUGUCGUUGUCCCAUGUAAAUUAGUUUUUUUUCAUAAUU